AAGCAGGUCGUUUCCUGAGGACUACAGUAAUGAGCACUAUCCCCAAAGUUUGUGCCGCAAUUUUCGGGCUUCUUAAUAUUAGGUAUCUACAUUGCUGUGAUAAGACGUUAUGAAAUCUAGCACAUCAUUUAUUAGCAAUGAAUUCAACAAGCAGCUGGUGGCUGAGCAAACAUUACAUUUCAACUCAAGCAAAAAGUUAACAACAAAUUGUUGAAAAAAAAUGUAUCUCACUUUUACUGUAAAAAGAAU